UACGGAGGAUGCGAGCGUUAUCCGGAUUUAUUGGGUUUAAAGGGUGCGUAGGCGGAUCGUUAAGUCAGUGGUCAAAUUGAGGGGCUCAACCCCUUCCCGCCAUUGAAACUGGCGAUCUUGAGUGGAAGAGAAGUAUGCGGAAUGCGUGGUGUAGCGGUGAAAUGCAUAGAUAUCACGCAGAACCCCGAUUCCGAAGGCAGCAUGCCGGCUUCCGACUGACGCUGAAGCACGAAAGCGUGGGGAUCGAACAGG
rnacentral:rRNA from 1 species